UUCUUGUGUCAUCUGCUUUAAUGCUGUGUCCAUUUCUAAGAGGCCGAUGACGGGACAAUUCAGGAUCAAGAGUAGGCUUUUUUCUGACAUCAAUUAUUGUCAACAUUUCCUCUCGUAUUUUUAUGUGUUCUUGUUCCGUGCCAUUUGUUAUAAUGUACGCUGGUGAAGAGAAAUUACACGUAUAUGAUAGAGGGCUAAUUUGCACGCACGCAGUACACUGUUGAGCCUUUCAUCGUGAAUAUUUUUAAACAUACUACAGAGCCAACUGUAUGCCCAAUUUUCAACAGAUGAACCAACUUCAGAACUACAGGAACAAAAUUAGGCAUCAGUACAACGUAAUUUACGAGAAAUCAAGAUUGUAUUCAGUGUUUACCCAUAAAUAGGAUGAGGAAACAUUUUAUCGUCACUCACGGCUGCUAUUUUGUAAUGAGAUGUUAAAAAGGGAAAAAUAAUUUGCCUCGUAGUCAAUGGUAAACUGUUCCAUAGUUCACUGUUUUUACCUUGAGGUGUAAUCUCGUAUGCUUUUAAGAUUUCCUAUAAAGGUACAUAUUUUCAAAAAAUGUAUGUUUAUACGUAAUGAUUAUACAGUAUUAAAAUAGAAACCUGAAUGGCAAGUGAGAAGCAAUCCAUACUGUGACUACUUUUUUGCAUUUGAAAGGCUCGCACAUGUUCAAAGAGCAUAGCACAGGCAAAUUCUUCAUUCAUAUCAGAGAUAAAUUUACAAUCAUCUACAAUUAAAAUAAUAUUAUUGUAAAUACGGAUGAUUUUUGUUGUAUUCUCAUAAUAAUACCUCUAGAGAUUAUUCGGCGUGGUAAAAGACUCGGUUCAAUGGCACCUAAUUCUCCUAAACAUUCUCCAUAUAAUAAGCGUAUGUUUUCAUCUUUAUGCUGACAACCAAUUAACAGCGUAUCUAACAACUAAAAAAUUAUUAAUUGACAGCGUUUGUGAUUAUUGCAUUUAUGAUUUCAUGAAGUAAUUUACCUCAACUAUUAACGGAUGAAUAUCCGUCUCAGUCAAAAUCAUUUGAUUUAAUUGGCUACGAUGUUCUGCUAGGAAUUUUUGCAAAUAUGUUAAAGCUCUAGACCUUACUUCAUCUGUUUCAUGUGUGAUACGUUUCAGCCAUAAUUUUAAAUUUGCUUCGAAACCUUUGGGUCUAAAAGAAUAAAAUGUAAUCAGUAAAUAGGGUACUUUAUAUUAGGUACAUAUGAAAUAUAUUGUGCUUACCUGGCUUGUAAAACACGCGCCUUAAUUAUAGUUGAAAUUUCAUCAGGAAUAUCUAUAUCAUCUAUGAAAAAUAAUUCCGCAGUGUGAUUGGAAUUUUCUUCAUUGCAUUCGAUAACGAGAAAUUUCAACAUGGCAAUGAUUUUUUCAGGAUAAAUUUUUAACAAUGAUAUUAAUGAUAUGCAUAUAGUUGGAAGGAGUGGACCUAGUUCUUUAAUAGUUAUGCUGGAAAAUUAAAAACAAAAAUAAUUAUGCUAUAAAUAAAAAAUGUACAUUGUAUGACCUCA